UACGUAGGGGGCAAGCGUUGUCCGGAAUCAUUGGGCGUAAAGAGCGUGUAGGCGGCUCGGUAAGUCCGCUGUGAAAGUCCAGGGCUCAACCCUGGAAUGCCGGUGGAAACUGUCGAGCUAGAGUCCGGAAGAGGCGAGUGGAAUUCCCGGUGUAGCGGUGAAAUGCGCAGAUAUCGGGAGGAACACCAAUGGCGAAGGCAGCUCGCUGGGACGUGACUGACGCUGAGACGCGAAAGCGUGGGGAGCAAACAGG
rnacentral:rRNA from 1 species